AUGAAUGUUGAUAUAGCUUUAUGAAAUCGUGACCAAUACAAUAAUAAAAGACACUCUGUGUGAGGAAACUUCGGAAAUACUUCAAAGUCGACCUGCAGAUCUGCGCUAGAACUGUAGUAAAAAAUUUUCUUAUUUUACAAUUUUACUGGCAAAAAAAUAGUAUUUUUUGAACAUUUAUUUAGGUAAAAAUUUAAAACAGCUGAUAGUGGACCAUCUGAUAGCAAAACUAAAAUCAAGGAUAGUAAGUGCCGUAUAUUUGCGACGUUAGAACAAUUUUAAAAAAUUUAGAUCGUAAAUAAAUUAUUGUAUACGUGACGCACGACUUCCCUAUCAAGUCCUGAAUCUGGUGAAUGAUAGAUAAUUUCUAGAUGAACGAACAUUUUAAUAUUUACGUUGACGAAAUUUUCGAGUUUAAAUGGGCUCACUCAACUAAGUCAUACGGUUCCAGAACUUAAUGCCGUUAAAUCACUUUGCAAACCUCUCAAGGCCCUGGUCAUACCACAGAAUAGAGUUAAGCUAUUAGACUACCAGGAUGCUUGUAACAGUAUGUGACUAUUGUGGUUUUUGCUUUGGUAUGUAUAAUUUCGUACACGGCAUUAGUUUGAAAAAAAUUACCACAGAAAUCAAAGGUAAAGUUGAAAUGAAGUUUUAUUGAAAAAUCGCACAGUCUAGUCUAAUGUCUAAUGUCACAACGCUUAUACGAAUAUAUACCUUUUCUCCUUGCCAAAUGCAUUUUUUACAUAAACUUGCCUCCAACUACUUUUUCACGAAUUCUCAUGGCAAUAAGGCGGUCAGGACGAUAAGUGAAUAAUUCUUACAUUCCACGCUCUUUUGAUUUUCGCUGAUGUAAAGGUAACUUGAUGUUGACGCUAGAAAAACAUAUGCGUAUGCAUAGGAUGUUUAGUUGUAUUGAAUAUUCAUUCAUAGUUCAAUUUUUUCAAGAAAUCGCACGUUUUGCAUUUUCGAGAACGUUGUUGUUAGAAAAGUGCAAACGGUGCACUUUGUCUCCCUCCCACAUUGACCUCAUUAUUAUUCUGCGAGAGUCGCGUAUCCGAUUUUAUAUCGUAACGCUAUCUAGAGCAAAAAGGAUAAACCUGCGAAGAUUUCUAUGCCUAUCUAAAUUGUCAUCUCCUAUACACCGAAAUCAACUUCAUCUCUAUAGAUGGCACUUCAUAUCAAAAAUAAAAAGUACCUAGUGAUUUCAAAACAAAAUAUAUGACAUAAAGUCGCAGAGAAUCAAGUUUCAAAAGAUUCCCAACACCGAACUCGAAAAAAAAAUUCGAAAGGAAUCACGUCAUCAAAUACGCGCCUGUAGCUCCAAUCGGCGCCGUAUUGUAAUAAAUACGAGAAGGAAAAUUGAAUUGGUCCCUUCGUUGCGCGCUUUCAUUUUUCCAGCCGUUUCAGGCCCUGCUGCGCAGCCACAAAGACUACCAAUACUCGUAGCAGACCUUCCCACGCCUCUGGAUUCACGAGACCUUUCGCGUCUUCAACUCGUCGACGAUCAGUAAGUUCUUCGCUUCCUUUCUUGCCCACUCGAAGCUCAGACACGUCCGUUCUCGCCGUCUCCCUCUACUUUCCUUCUAGCACGAGCGACAAAUGCAAGGGAUGGAAAAUGUUUCUCUUCGUCUCUCUUUCAGAGAAUCGAAAAGUGUAUUUGCAGAAAUUUACGAGCUUUUUCGGCUGGAAGCGGAUUAAAAUUAUACAGCUUUAACAGGUUUUAAUAAAAUAUCGGCGAGCGUACGACCGUUGGCCUGCAUCGUCGUAAUGGAAAUCCGUCGCAGGUGAAAAGAGCACUAACAAAGGAUUAUUCUUGUUUUUUUUUGCCUUUCAAAGGGACAGAGAAUGGUUUGUUUUCCCUCAUUGAACCGACAGGUCUCUCCCUCGGUCGAUACGUUGAAUCAACAUUUUACGAGCUUUGUCGCACGGGAUAAAGGUGUCCGAUUUUUGGUAAGUAACUUUAGAUCUUUUUGAACUCUGAAGCUUGCUGCUGUUGAAAAAAUAAUUAGCCGGCGGGCUGAAGCAAGCCCGAGAAUUAAAAACAGGAAACGACGAGCUUGCCUUUGUCCGUUAUCUAAUUUAAUUUUAUGGCUAAUUAUACUCCCGCGUAUUGAUUUAAAAUGUUUGUUCGCUUCGUGAAAAAUUCGUCAAUGGAUAUUCGGAAAGGAAUGUGUUUGUGUACGCAUUCCAGCGCAACGAAUUAAAGUCCAUGUAUUCAUAUGACAAAGCGAUCAAAGAGCAAAAACGUAAAGUGUACGAAUCGCAGAACAAACGAGCAUUGAAAGUUGCUGAUUUCCAUUUCAAACCCGAUAACCAGCAAUUGCAUUGGGUAAAAGGAAGAAUGCUAUACAUCGAUGAAAGCCAAUACCCACAAAAUCGAUUGCAAUUCUCUCAUAACGAUUUAUUUUUCCAACGAUAUUAAUUACUGAUGCAACCGCUCCUGUUUGUCCAUAUCAGUACACGACGAAGAAAAAAAGCCUUUCCAUUCAUAAUUGAGUAUCUUCAUACCACAAGAUUUUCCGCAGAUGAUUAUGCGAGACACAUACAUAAUACAGACGCGAGUCAGGAGUAAGCAAAGAAGCGAUGCGUUAAAUCUAUGAUUUCCUUGAGCGUUUACACGCCGUAGGGGCGGACGCGAUGUGUGGGAAAACGGUCGAACUCCUCAGCGAUGUUUGCGGUGAGAAUAAAGGGCGUAAUCAUAUGGCACACGAGAAAGAUACGUCACCGUUGCUAUCAUUGCGGCUAUCUUAUUUUUCUUAAGGUCGCAAAUCGACCUCAUAUCAUAUCGAUUUUCCAUCUCCUUUGUAUAUGUUAAUUCAAGUUAAGAAUAUUUAUCAUCAAAAGUAUCCAAAUAAAAGUAUAAUAACGACUAAACGUUUGCCCAACCAGGGAGCAACAAGCUCAUGGUCAAAAUCAGCAAGCAUCCAAGUCGAGAUUUCGAAGCAUUAUCACCUGCCAGAAUUCAACGAAGCAUCUGCUACUUGACGGGCGUUGAAAACAAGCCUUCAAGCUUUCCCUUCAAUGACACUCGAAUCGUCGAGGAGCAGUUCCUCGAAAUCGUGAACAACGUUUUGAGCACCGAGGAAGUCGCUAUAGUUUGUACAAAACCGACGAGCUCGAGGAUGUAAGUUUCUACCGGUGCUCAUAAUGCGUCACUAAUUUUCUUCGAGGCAAAUGUACUAUGCUGCCGACCUGAUGCUCUCGUUAGUAGCAAUAAUCUCGAGAAACUUGAUCGACGUGUAGUCGAGCUGUCGAUCGGAACUCCAGAUACUCACAGCAACCACUUACAUAUACCCUCUAGCAUUUUAAUCAAACUACAAAUUAACGUUUUGCCACCAGGGAAAAAGUGAACGAGAUGGCGGUGGAGCUCGCAGCUACACAGUAACGGGUCCAGUGCUCGACGGCCGAGUGCGAGGAGUACCUCGUGAGCAUCGUAAGUCAGAGGCGCGACGCCGAUGAGACGCAGAAGCUCGGCGAGGUCGGUGAGGAUAGUCGAGGAGUACAAGGUCUGCAAGAGGCUCGAGGAGAUUGACCGAGCCAACAUGGCCACCGACUUCUUUUUUCCUCCUCUUUGCAAGAUUCACUGCGCCGGCCUGAGUUUGUACAAGCUUAUAGGAUGUAAGCUCUUGGUGUUGUUGUGUGAAAAAGAAUUAUCUCGUUUCGAACUCACUUUGAAAAUUAUGGUGGAACUUCUUAAAUUAUACUUGAUCGUGUAAGCUUUGGAAAAAAAGAUAAAAAAUAGUGAGUUCGAUUAAAAGAAUAAACUUAGCUAUGGAAUCCACCGGAGGCGGCGCAGGCAUCAACACACAGGAGAAGGAGCUGCUUAGGCUGAGUCGAGCUUGCGAUUGCAAAAGUUGCAGAAGGAGUUGGAGCGACUGCAGAAAGUGUACGACGCAAAGAUGAAGAAAAAAAAGAAUACUUAAUUAGCCUGGUCAAACAAAACACAUGUAGGAGGAGUUAUUGAAGUUAAAGUUGGAAUGUACUGCUACGUUAGUGAAAGGUCUCUUUGAUGGAAAGUGCACCAGAUGCAGGGAGAGUAGUGUUCGGGAACUCAACGGAUUGUUCGAUUCGUUGCCGAACGAUUGCCUGAUUGCUACCGCCUACAUCUCCUACCUGGAAGCCUUUAUUUCUAAUUACAGGGAUGAGCUCGCAUCUGGACUGACGAGGGUUUACCGUGAAGAAAAUCGACAUCGAUGUUAGUUACUUUACACCAAACUUGGGACCGGACCAAAGUUUAUCUCUCAUGCUCGCGAGAACCGUUUUCUCACGAAUAUCUCACGUGCUGCGCACACAUGCAAAAAAGGCGAUAAUAUCCUUCUCUUGCGAAAAACUUUGUAAGCUCUUUCUCUUCUUUUGCACUUGUACGAAGGUUUCGAGAAAGAGAUUCGAAAUUCGAAUCGAUGAAUAAGAAUCAAUAGAAAUAACAAGAUUGUGUUUAAAAUAUUAAUUGAAUUGUUUUCAAUUUUUGUCGUAAUUAAAAUAUUCCUGGCGUAUGUGCUAAGAAAUAAAUUUAUUGCAAACCAUAAAUUUUU